rnacentral:rRNA from 1 species
UGCAAGUCGAACGGUGAAGCGAGAGCUUGCUCUCGUGGAUCAGUGGCGAACGGGUGAGUAACACGUGAGUAACCUGCCCCAGACUCUGGGAUAAGCCUUGGAAACGAGGUCUAAUACCGGAUACGAGACGAGAUCGCAUGGUCAUCGUCUGGAAAGAAUUUCGGUCUGGGAUGGACUCGCGGCCUAUCAGCUUGUUGGUGAGGUAAUGGCUCACCAAGGCGACGACGGGUAGCCGGCCUGAGAGGGCGACCGGCCACACUGGAACUGAGACACGGUCCAGACUCCUACGGGAGGCAGCAGUGGGGAAUAUUGCACAAUGGGCGCAAGCCUGAUGCAGCGACGCCGCGUGGGGGAUGAAGGCCUUCGGGUUGUAAACCCCUUUCAGCAGGGAAGAAGCGAAAGUGACGGUACCUGCAGAAGAAGCGCCGGCUAACUACGUGCCAGCAGCCGCGGUAAUACGUAGGGCGCAAGCGUUGUCCGGAAUUAUUGGGCGUAAAGAGCUCGUAGGCGGUCUGUCGCGUCUGCUGUGAAAACCCGAGGCUCAACCUCGGGCCUGCAGUGGGUACGGGCAGACUAGAGUGUGGUAGGGGAGACUGGAAUUCCUGGUGUAGCGGUGGAAUGCGCAGAUAUCAGGAGGAACACCAAUGGCGAAGGCAGGUCUCUGGGCCACUACUGACGCUGAGGAGCGAAAGCAUGGGGAGCGAACAGGAUUAGAUACCCUGGUAGUCCAUGCCGUAAACGGUGGGCACUAGAUGUGGGGCUCUUUCCAUGAGUUCCGCGUC